ACUCCUACGGGAGGCAGCAGUGGGGAAUAUUGGACAAUGGGCGCAAGCCUGAUCCAGCCAUGCCGCGUGAGUGAUGAAGGCCCUAGGGUUGUAAAGCUCUUUCACCGGUGAAGAUAAUGACGGUAACCGGAGAAGAAGCCCCGGCUAACUUCGUGCCAGCAGCCGCGGUAAUACGAAGGGGGCUAGCGUUGUUCGGAUUUACUGGGCGUAAAGCGCACGUAGGCGGACUAUUAAGUCAGGGGUGAAAUCCCGGGGCUCAACCCCGGAACUGCCUUUGAUACUGGUAGUCUUGAGUUCGAGAGAGGUGAGUGGAAUUCCGAGUGUAGAGGUGAAAUUCGUAGAUAUUCGGAGGAACACCAGUGGCGAAGGCGGCUCACUGGCUCGAUACUGACGCUGAGGUGCGAAAGCGUGGGGAGCAAACAGGAUUAGAUACCCCAGUAGUCCCA
rnacentral:rRNA from 1 species